UACGUAGGCAGCGAGCGUUGUUCGGAGUUACUGGGCGUAAAGAGUGCGUAGGCGGUUUUCUAAGUUUGGUGUGAAAUCUCCCGGCUCAACUGGGAGGGUGCGCCGAAGACUGGAAGACUAGAGUGUGGGAGAGGUAAGCGGAAUUCCUGGUGUAGCGGUGAAAUGCGCAGAUAUCAGGAAGAACACCCGUGGCGAAGGCGGCUCUCUGGGACGGUACUGACGCUGAGACGCGAAAGCGUGGGGAGCGAACAGG
rnacentral:rRNA from 1 species